rnacentral:rRNA from 1 species
AUUGAACGCUGGCGGCAUGCUUUACACAUGCAAGUCGAACGGCAGCGCGGGCUUCGGCCUGGCGGCGAGUGGCGAACGGGUGAGUAAUGCAUCGGAACGUGCCCAGUAGUGGGGGAUAGCCCGGCGAAAGCCGGAUUAAUACCGCAUACGACCUGAGGGUGAAAGCGGGGGACCGAAAGGCCUCGCGCUAUUGGAACGGCCGAUGUCGGAUUAGCUAGUUGGUGGGGUAAAGGCUUACCCAGGCGACGAUCCGUAGCUGGUCUGAGAGGACGACCAGCCACACUGGGACUGAGACACGGCCCAGACUCCUACGGGAGGCAGCAGUGGGGAAUUUUGGACAAUGGGGGCAACCCUGCUCCAGCCAUGCCGCGUGCGGGAAGAAGGCCUUCGGGUUGUAAACCGCUUUUGUUCGGGAAGAAAUCCUCUGGGCUAAUACCCCGGGGGGAUGACGGUACCGGAAGAAUAAGCACCGGCUAACUACGUG